UAGGAGGUGUGUGUUCAACAAUGCCCAGGCAUCUGCACUCAAGGCUCUCUCUCUGCAGGGGUCGUUUGAAACCAAGGUUUCACUAUCAUGCAAACGGUAUGUACAGAUAUCUGCCUAUCCCCCAUCAAAAAGUGUGUCGGUUUCUCUUAAAAUGGGGACUUUCGAUUCAUUAACACAUAUGCCUUUCAGAUCCUAAUUUAUCUCACCCUCCAGAGGAUGUGAAGGCUAAAAAGUCAACCUGCCCCCAGAAAGAAUACACCAUGUCUAGACCGACCCCCAGGGAUAAACAUUGAUAUUUCUAAUCAGCGCAUAUACUAACGGUGCCCCCACCCCGGUCUAUACAUUUACAUCGGACACCCUCCAAGGUGCUAACCCUGAGGAUGUAGGAAAUCAUCGGACACCCUCCAAGGUGCUAACCCUGAGGAUGUAGGAAAUCAAAAGGGCCACGUCUUACUGUCUCGACACCCCUCCUGUUGUUUGAAAUCACUACCUUUGUAAUCUAAACCAAAAUAUACAGGGUGUUGCAAACAGGAUAUCGCCCGAAAAAACGUCACCCCAACAUGCCCUGUAAAUGCAUUCCGUAGUAUCUCUCCUUUUGAGCCAAGACCGAGGAGCGAGUGUCCGAUCCACUAUGUUAGCACCGCUUUAGCGCAGCUACAAACCCACAGGCCAGCAACCCCGAAUAGUUAUCGGACUGAACAUUUAAAAGGAUCAUCUGUGAAUCCGUCCUAAUGGAGCAUUCUGAAGGGUCUCCAACAUUUACGCAGCUGCUCAGAGGGAUAAAUGAUCUGGAACAGACAGCGUUAGACGGCGAUUCUCAGGAGCAAAUCGCAUGCAGCCAAACCCCGUCACAUUAUUGUAGACCUGACAUACAGCCAAGAAGAGUAACGGGGUCCAUAUGGACCCUGAACUACUUCGGAAGAGCAGAUGACACAUCCGAUGACACAGAUGCAAUUCUCCCGUUCUGUACGAACGUUUUUUCAAACACACCGAGAACAGAGGAUUUAAACAUCCGGUUAACUUCCCCGGAAACCUCCACCAGCUCGCUCCAUAUUCCUAACCCAAGCAAACAACGCACAACUCGGGCGCAAAUACAUUGCUCAGAAUUCACCCCUCCGGAAAAGUAUGACAGGACAGGGAAUUUACGAGACGGCGCUCCAUGGACACGGUAUGAAACCAUUAUAUUAUAUAUAUAUAUUAUUAUUAUUAUUUAUACAUUUUUAGGCUUGAAUAUGUUAAAACAAGGACAAAUAAGGUUUUUUCAGGCUCCAACGAGACAGGCCUGGCAGAAUCGGGAAUUCUUGGUGACAAAAGUCAAGCCCCCCCCUGGUUUACGCGAUUUGUCAGAACAGCCCUCUAGUCAAAAAAGCUGAGACUCCUCCCCGGCGUAUAACGGCACCAAAGACCUCACACAUCUAGAGCACGAGGAGGAUUCCAGCUCACCGAACAUUCCCAAUGAAACAACCAAACCGGAGGAUUUCAACGUUAUAAAUGACAUUUCCGAGGCAGACGACCGGUUAUUAUGGGAUGCGGCCAACCUUCUUGAUUCUGCCAAUUCUGUGGUGACAACAGAUGGAUCUGAAAUAGAACAAGCUAGGUUUUUCACAGCCUUUUCCAGGGCUCUAAAAUCCCGAAAAAGGUUUUGCUACACAGACGUGUUUUACUAGAGCGCCAAUACCGUCAGGAUAUAUCCUUCUGGCAUAGAGCAAUUCCACGUAUGUUAAACAGCAAUCCGAUUAAAAAAAACGCAAAUACAGGCGUUAAAAGCAUAUAUGUAACACGGAUCCUUCCAGAAUUACCCAAGAACACACAUCAUUAAUUAUCCAAAUGGCUGACCCAACAGACCUAGGCCAGACAGUUGAAAACCUCUUAUCCCAGAUACCGCCAGAAUUCCAAGCUAUAAUUAACCAUAUGAAUGAGGCGGGGGUAACAGACAUAAUACCAAUAGAUGAAAGCAUAUUAUCACAGAUUCCAGCCGAACUCAUAGAAAUUAUUAAUCGUAUGAAUGAGUCAGGGCCAUCCGAUGAAAACCUGUUAUCACAGAUUCCCGAAGCCCUCAUAUCGCUAAUUACCCAGAUGAACGAGAGCCUGAGAUCUAAUUCUGCAACACACACCCCUCAAAACCAGACAUUAACACCCAUGUCCGAAGAGUCUGAAACGCAAUACGAUGUUUUUGAGGAAUUGGAAAAUGGUCUAAUAAAUCAGGAUGGAAACGGUAUGGAUAGAAGUGUUCGUGUUGUGUACCGAAAUCAAUUCAACAAUACAGAGAUUCGACAGUUUUUCAAUUUCGCAUGGGUGAAUCAAAAUCUUGACUAUGCUGUGUUUUACGUAAUGAUAUUGGACACUCUGAACGAACUGUUAGACAGGGCUAGAGAUUAUGGUGAACCACGUGAUGUCUUACAGUUGGAAAUUUGUGGAGAUUACCUGUAUAACACGGUAUCUCUUAUUUUGACCAAUGGCGAAGCAGAUCUGGAACAAGUUAUCGCCCUGCUAGAACGACUUGUUCAGUCAAAUGUAUCCGUCAUAGCCGAUAGGACCCUCGAGCUUGUAGUGCAAAUAAUACGUCAACCGCAGGGUGGUGGUGGGCAGAGAAGGAAGCUAGAUAGCAUAAUGCAAUCAGAAAUCAUAAGCAAUAAAAGGGCCUACCUCAUAAACGUUCACAAUCCUGGUAAUAAGCUAUGCUUUGCAAUAGGUCUGUCCCAUUUACUCAACCCGGGAUGUACUGAUCUAGAGGCGUUACAACGGUAUACAGGAUGCUGUGGCUUUCUCUGACAUACUCAAAUUUGAAAACUUUCUGAAUAUCAAGAUUGUGGUUUUGUACCACAGUAGAGCUAAUGCAGCUCUUUUGAAAUUCCAAAACAACCCCCAACCUCAUCCUCAGACUCUGUACUUUUAUGUGCAAAACGAACAUUACUAUGCCCUUACUAACAUAACAGCGUUUUUAGGCGCACCAUAUGUGUCCAUCCUGCCAUACCGGCUACACCCGAAUGGGGGGGCACUCGUGCCAUUAUAACUGUUCAGUAUGUCUGGAUAAAAAUUGUCCUAUGCAACCCUUACACUUGACACCCUGUGAGGAUUGCCACCGCACAUGUCGUUCGGCCUACUGUUACGAAAAACACAAAAUUGAAACAUGGCACCCCAAGGCCUGUAAAUCUGUAAGCAGUUGUGACAUUAACAAGAAAUGCCCAAAAUGCCAUUGUAAUUACAACCUUAAUAUAGAUAGCCCUAAACCGCAUGUGUGUGGAAUCAUACAUUGCUCAAUCUGUAAAGGGCCUUUGAAAAGCAGAGACACUGAAGUGGUUCAAGAAGUGCAACACAAGUGUUAUAUUCAGCCCGUGGCUGAAGUUGAACAUUCAGAGAAAUAAAGUGUUAUAUGAUUUUGAGACAAAUCAGCAAUCAGGGGUUCAUUUGCCUAUUUUUGUAUCUACCAUGACUUUCAAGGGUGAAAAGUGGUCGGCCGAGGGACCCAAUUGUGCACUGUUCUUUCUAAAACACUUUAGAAAACCCCAAUACAGAAACUUCACGUUUAUAGCACACAAUGCUCGAGCCUAUGACCUUCUUCUGAACCCCUUGAUACAGCAAGGCGUUGCACCCAGUGUCAUAGCUCAAGGUAGUAAAAUCUUGUGUUUUGUAGACCCCGCCUUCAACCAGAGAUAGAUUGACAGUUUAAGCUUCUUACCCAUGAGAUUGGCUCAAAUGCCAAAGGCCUUGGGUUUUGAAAACUCUGUGAAAGGCUGGUUCCCCGCACUACUUCACAUCUGAGGAGAAUCUACAUUAUAUUGGAUCUUAUCCCUGCCCCGAAAUGUAUGGAUGUGAUCAAAUGUCUCCCAAAGAGCGUGAGAGAUUCAUGACAUGGUACGAGACAGUAAGACAUGGCCCCUUUGAUUUCCAUAAAGAGAUGGAAUCAUACUGUGACAAUGAUGUGGUUAUACUUGGUGAAGGAUGCCUCAGAUUCAGAGAAGAGGUAAUCAAAGAUGCAGGCAUUGACCCCUGGAGUUGUACAACUAUUGCAUCGGCGUGCAUGAAAACCUAUCGUAUGAGUACAACGGUUGUUUCUUCCACGAUUGUAAAUCUUGCUUUGUGCCCCAGGCCAUGUGUGUCCUAACCCAAAAGACUUUUAUGGAAAUGUAGCAAGAGUUUCAAGACAAAUAGGAUUUUUUCCAGGCUACUUACAGGUUAAAAGUUGUGGUUUUGUGGGAGCACGAAUGGACAGCCCUCAAAAAGUCUGAUCCUCAUGUUCAAGCCUUCCUUUCCAGCUAUGACACACUAGAACCCCUGGAACCAUGACAGGCCUUGUAUGGAGGCCGUACCAAUGCUUUGACCUUGCAGUAUGUAGCGCAACCCGACGAGACAAUAGGAUAUGUAGAUUUUACAUCCCUUUAUCCUCAUGUAAUGAGUUCCUAAUGCUAUCCUAUGGGGCAUCCGGAAAUAAUUCACCGCGACUUUGACUAACCCCAAAACUAUUUUGGUCUGAUCAAAGCAACUGUCUACCCUCCUAGGGGUUUGUUUAUACCAGUGUUUACUUACAGGGGCCCUCAAGGAAAACUUUUCUUUCCCCUUUGUCGCACCUGCAGUGAAAAACACAACCAGCAAAACCCUUGUGAUCACUCAGAUCAAGAAAGAGCCCUGACAGGUGAAUGGGUCACAGUUGAAUUCUCUAAGGCUCUAGAGAUGGGCAACUCACUUUGGGGCAAAUUAUCGCAGAGAUGCAACAUGUUAACAACGUCGAUCAUUAAAGACCCCAAAGAAUUUUUGGAAUUUGUUUUUUCGGACCAAUACGAAAUGUCACAUUUUUCAUUCUUGAGUCAAGACAUUGCCCUGGUGCAAUGGAGGCGCAACCAGAAGUGGGUUCUACCCCCGGGUAAUGUAAAUGUGUUUCUUGCAGCAUUUACCACGGCCUAUUGCCGACUUGAACUGUACACCCUCAUGGAACAGCUUCAGAGGCGGGUUCUUUACCACGAUACAGACUCUGUGGUCUAUGUAAGCAAACAGGGUGAUUGGAACCCCCCACUUGGCGACUAUCUGGGUGGUUUAACGAGUGAACUUGAAGAGGGUGACCAUAUCACAGAAUGGUCCUCAUGUGGACCCGAAAGCUAUGCUUUUAGGACUAAAGACAAUCACGUGGUGUUGAAAGCCAAAGGCGUGACUCAAAACUAUGAAAAUGCCCCGCGUGUAAACUUGGAAUCAAUCACACGCUUGGUCGAGGGUUUCAUAAACAACAGGAAUAGUGACUUGGAGAUUUUGAGCUCCUACAAAAAAAUUGUUAGGGAUAAAAAGGGCUUCCAUCUAAGGACCACCCCACUUACUAAAAGAUUCAGGGUAGUCUAUGACAAGAGACUGCUAUUGCCUGACGGGACCACAUUGCCCUUUGGCUACUGACUUAUGCUACAAGCCCCCCCAGUGUGUCUUAAAGCUUAAGAUAUAAUGACUGCUGUAGCUGAUUUUGACCCCCGUUUGCAACUGCCAUUUUCGGCCUAAAUCGCAGGCCCAUCAAAUAGUGGUAAAACUUGCUUUGUAAAAAGUAUUUUAGAGAAUUCUGAACAUGUGUUAUCUCAAAAGCAUGAUAAUGUUGUGUGGUGUUAUUCUUGUUAUCAACCUCUGUAUGAUGAAUUAUUGAAGACAAUAAAAAUCAAGUUUGUUGAAGGAAAA